UCUUUUUUGAAGAGUGUCAUUAUUGGAAUAAAACUCACUUAUCUCUCAUUUUCCCAUGAUUUUAUUGGGUGAUUAUUAUUCUCUUUUGGUUUCAUAGAGGUGGGUGUUUGCUCCCGUCGCAAUGCUUCGACUCUGUCAAGAAGUGUUUUGCAAUUCCUAUGCUCUGGUUUAAGGACUGAUGUCAAUGAAAACUUCUUGGCGAGUCAGUCUGGCGUUGAUCAAGAUUGCAGAUUGAUAGAAGAUAUUAAGCCUGGUUGUGAUUCCAUGAGUCCAAGAUAGGAGCCAGAGCUGUCAUCUGGAGCCAUAGCAAAUGUUAUUCCAUCCCCAUUACCUGGUGAAUUGGGAAAGGGACUUAUUCUAAACGUGAAGAUGGUAGAGAUAAUUGGUUACUUAAUUGUUUUCCUGCCAAUAUAACUGCAUUAUACUUCAUGGUUCUGGUGUUCUUCUGCUUUGUCAACCACUUACUCCAUCUCAAGAAUUUAAAUUCCCAGCUGAGAAGUUGAUGGCUCUCUGUGGAAUUCUGAGUGGAAGCUGCGAAGCCAACAUACAUGGAGUUUGGAAACAUACCUGUGACGUCAAUUUGUCGGGAAGAAAUCUUCACAAGUGGGUUUGAUUCAUAUCCUGCAUGUACUUCAAGCCAUUUAGUCCAGCUAUUAUAAUCGAUUUGAACUUUGAUAUCCUUGCCACUUUCAAGGUCAAUUCCGCUACCAUUGGGACUCACAGCUAUUAAGUGGUCUUGCUACACUUGCUGUGUCGUCAGUGAUAUGAUUCCCAUCAAUGUCAAAGUUGUUCUUGUAAGUAUCCAGCCGCACUGUUAAUUGACGAAUAUCACUAUCUGGUUCUGCACAUAAGCUAUGGUUAGUUAACUAAGAAGUGCAAGGAAUGGUUAAUACAGGCCACUACAAAUGAUAUCCUAUCAUAAGAUAUUUGUAAAGGACAGAUCUCCUACUUGUAUUUGGUUCUCCUACGAUUCCAAGAUCAUCUUGUGCAGGACUAUUAACUGGAAUCAUAAGAAAUGACACUCGAUCUCCAGCAGAUGAAUUGGAGGCUACGACAAUUCUGAAUGUGAAGACGGUAGAGAAAAAUGCUGGCCAAAGAACCACUGGUUGACGGUAUAUAACCCAUCCAACAUUGUGUUUAUUUGAGUUUAGAAAACCAGGGAAUAGCGAAGGCUCCGGCGUAAGGCUUAGGAAACCAUCAUGGGCUGUAACAGCGCCGAGGCAGAGUAGGUUGCUGGAGGAGCUGCAACUUUGAGUGUCGAAAGCAGGGAAAGCAAAGUUAGUAGCGGAGAGUUAUGGUGCAGGCUCUGGAGCAAGACUUUCUGCAUAAGCUUGGUUGAGAAAGGCCACAGCUGCUAGAAGCAGAACAAGAAGACUAUGCAUGGUUGUUGGUAUUUGCUUGAUUCAUUACCAGCUUGGCAUUCAUAUGUAGUGGCUAUGGUCAAAUCUAUGUAGAAGAUAAAAAAUAUCAAACUACUUGUUCUAUUCUAUAUUGAAAUAUUCCUGAAA